GUGUUUUAUAUCCUGAACAAAGCCUCUUCUUGUCUUGCUGCUGACUGAGAGGAUUCGUAUCUUGUUUAUAUUUUGUCUGAAGUGGAUUUUAAUUCAAUUAUCCUCAGCCAUCACAUCCGUCUCAUAUUAGUUUUAAGUGCUGUUUACGGAUAUGAACCCAUUGAGUUGAUUCAGCAUAAUUUUGUCAUUAGCGGCUCCAUCUUUUUUGCCUUUCUUUUUUUGACUAAACUAUCUUGCAUGGUCUAUGGGUAAUUUCAUACACACGUAAGUUAAGUUUGUUUGUUUGUUUGUUUAGCUCGGAGCUCUGAUUAUCUAUUAUUGCGUGUUGUGCUUACACCUGCUGAAGAUAACGCGUGUUCCCCAGACAAUCCUCAACCAAAAUCUGGAGGAAAUCCGUUGGUUUCAAAUAUAGUCCACAUCUGCUUAAACAAACUGUUGGUUUAGAAAGUUUGCAUAACAAUUACGAGAUGGCUGGUCCAUCUCAAAACCAGGAAUAGGGAGAUUCAUUACUGCCAAAAAACUGCCAGUGUUCUGGUCAGCCAGUGUCUGGGUUGGCACGGUUGUAAAGCCUGUCAGAGACUCAUCGCGGUGAGGAAGCGUCUCAGCGGGGACGCGCAGCGGUGCCAGGGCACGGCGGGGAAAGAAAAUGGAGCCGCUUGCCCAACAGCGUGUGAUCAUAAUGAGGAGGAAAAUUCCCAUUCUUGUAUCCAGAUUAAUGUAAUAACAACAAUGUACUUUUGUCCAAGUUUUUCUGCUCCCACUUGUAUUUCUCAAAGCCUCAGUUCCCUGGUCAUCUAACGUGAGCGCGCGCUGCUGCUGCAGUACACUUGCUUAGUUGGUUUAAAGGGGGCAUAUGAUAUUAAGAAAUUCUGAUUUUUUUCAUGUUUAAGUGCUAUUAAUGGGUCCCAAGUGCUUAUGAAAAAGAACAACCCAGUAACUUAGUUUUGGAAACCAUUCUCUGCAAGCAUGUGAAAAAAAUAGGUCAUAGUAAUUUGGCUUCCCUUGUGAUGUCAGAAGGGGAUAAUAAGAUGAGCUUUAAAGGGGACAUAUCAUGUAAAUCUGACUUUUUUCUCCAUGUUUAAGUGCUAUAAUUGGGUCCCCAGUGCCUCUAAAAACCUAGAAAAUAUGAUAAAGGGACAAACGGAAAAACUGCACAUUUUUCCGAGGUGGGAUGUAGCAUACACAUCUAUAUUGUCUGAGUAUCCGAUUAUGGUUCCCAGGCACCCAAGGACCAGCUCUAAGCAAUGAGCCGAGAGCUAUAUCUGUGUACACGAGGUCAAUCUCAAGCUGUCUCUGUUGAAUGCUGUGCAAUGCUGUUUUUCAUUAUUUUCAUGCUAUUCAAGUGAAAUCAUGCCUCCUCAUUUCUGAAUGCACCAAUUGACAAGCACCAGGAGUGUGAAUUAGCAGCUACUCGGGGAAUACUGCCAGACAUUACAAAUGGUGUGGGAGAGGAAAACAGUAAUGAAACUGAAGAGUAAAAUCCGGCUUGAUGUUUGAACUCAGCUUCGUUCUUUACUAGAUAGCGAAAUGAGAAGAAGAGGGGGAAGAAACUGAGAAAACAAGCCUCCUCGUUCCCCUCCGACAGCCUCACUCAAUGGAAAAAUAGAUUUGCUCUUCUCAUAAACUCAUGUUAGAUGUUACAAAUCUGUAUAUUUAUCUGCAGUUAUGAUCAUUAUACUGUUGGAACGUAAUAAUAAUCUACUGAAUCGGUGAGUGUUAUAAUCAUCAGGGGGUAGAUUAAAGGUAGUACUUUGUAUUUUUGCUCUGUUUGGAAAUUAAUCCUCAAAAUAAACAUUUAGACUUGUCAACAGAUUAAUAUAAUAUAUUGUCCCAUACAUAAUCCCUCCCUCUUUUCUUUCUUUCUUUCUUUCUUUCUUUAAUCUUCAUGCUAUUUCAGCAUCUAUAGCUGUAUUCACAGCGAGAACUGGUUAAUCCAUACACAAGUUGGUACUGUAUCUCCAAUUCACCUAACUUGCAUGUUUUUGGCCUGUUGGAGGAAACCAGAGUACCUGGAGUAAACCCAUGCUGGCGCAGGAAGAACAUGCAAACAGAAAGACCACCUGACCUAGCGGGGGGUCGAACAACGGACCUUUUCGCUGUUAGGAAACAGCGCUAGCCACUGUGCCCUUCCUCUUUUUCAUCAAUUCAAUGACAUAUAAAAUUACCUUUUGAACCGUCAAAAUGUUAAAAGACAAGCUUUGGUGUUGGUGAUUAUUAAACAGGAUAAGUUUAA